UUCUUACCUCCCUUUCAUCGUGGAACGGUCUUUUUUCAGGCGAAAGUCUGAUGAAGCUUAAUGGAUCUGCAAGCGGAACCGGAUUUCUCAAAUAUUUUACUUCGGGCUCAUCAAUAUCAGGAAACUCCGAAGCCAUGCAAAUCCUUCUCUGCUUUAUGAAAUAGGGGUUGGCUUAUAAUGUAUUCAUGUGGGAAACAACAGGAAUGUGACUGCAGUGUUAUUGCCGAGGCAAAGCAAAGAGAUUGGGACUGCUGAUCACAUUCUCAGCAAUGGGCUCACCUAAAAGUCACAUUUCAGAUGGAUUUUAAUGUGAACAGAGAACUUUUGCAGCUGCUGCAGAACCCAGCGUUAUUUCUCAGUAGGAAAACUGUGGGGAUAAGGGCAAUGGCUUAGGCUAAUAGUAAUCUGCUAUAGUAACAGAAAUAACUGAGCAAUAAUAGCUGAGAUAUAAUUGUCUAUAAUCAAGGGUGUCACUAUUUCAUUAGGGCUGAUGAUAGGAUUCUUCUGCGAAAAGCCCAGCAUCAAAGCCCGGGGCCUCCCUCCUUAGCCACAACUUCCUCCCUAGCCACAAUCCCCUCUGACCUACCACCCACCCCCUGCCAAAGCCGCAAUCCCCUCCGACCUACCCCCCCUGCCAAAGCUGCAGCCUCCUCCUCACAGACCUAAUUCCUUUUGAGCCCGUGAUCAAGGCCAUGUAGGUAGUUGGGUUGGGGAACACCCAGGGUUUCUGGUCAGGGAGCAGGUCUGGGUCAGCAGGGACCACCAGGUUUUUCCCCUGUUUCCAGCCGGCCUAGUCAGACCCUGGAAAAGCAAAUGCGCUCCUAUCACUCCUUGUACCUGCACAGACAGGCAUGGUGUUGGCCUGUCUGCCAUGUGUGUUUGCAUACAGGCCAAUGCUGUAUGGAAUAGGGGUGCAUCGGCUAUCAAAGAAAGGUGGAGAUGCAGGCUGAAAUAAUGCCAAGUAUUAGCACUUUUGUGCCACUAGCACUGUGCUGUGCCUCGGCUUCUCUCGUUUAUUUUGUUUGUUUUUGAGCACAAAGACCAACAGCUAUUAUGCAGGGUGGGGUGCAAAAUCGUACCCAUUCCCAAUUUUCUUUAAUUUUGUGUUAUUUUGGGCCUUAAAUCAUGGAAAGCCCUGAGCCAAAGACCAGUGACAUAACUAGAUGUUACUGUAACCCAACAACAAAUCCAACUAAGGGCCCAAAACACUGUGGGCCCCAGCUAACCCAGUCCAACACUGAUGGAGUAAUAAGCAGAAUAUAAGGUGUGACCUAUCCAACAUCUCUUGUCAGCCCCACAAUUAAUGAAUUGGUUCUCUGCAGCUCUAGCUGUUUGAAUUCGCCUCCACAUUUAAAUGUAUCAACAAUCACUAUUAUUAAGCUUGUAAAAAACAGAAAAGCCCAGGUCUCUACAGACACUCCACCCAACACUGCGUGUAGUCAUUCUUUUUCUGAGCUCUCAGUCUAUAGAGACAUAGAUUCCUAGCACUAUGAGUUGUAAAUUAGUAAUUUCAUUCCUAAUAUUCUGAAAUCCUAAUUUAGUUCUCCCUCUCAUUGGUCAUGUGUACCAAUGUGAACCAAGACUCCAAUUUGCUGAAGUGUUCAUUCCCCGUUAGCCACAGAAAUGUAAAUGCUGCAGUACUAUUGCAUCUUUUUUUGGGUCCGCAUAGAGAAUACUUGCCAGGUAUGUUUAAUCUGCUGUGAUGGACCAUCUUAGAAAUAUUGUAACUUCACUAUAAGACACAUUUUCUUCCCCUUUCUUUUCCUCUAUUUUAUCUGCUUCCAUUGCUUUGUUGUAAAGCAACUUGCUUUUACUACAUUUGUUGGUCAGAAUUUGUUUAUACAAGUAUGGGACCUGUUAUGCAGAAUGCUCCAGACCUGGGGAAUCUUUUUGCCGUUUGGAUCUUCAUUCUUUAAGUCUGCUAAAAAACAUUAAAAAACCCAAUAAGAUUAUUUUGCCUCGAGUAACGAUUGAUUAUACCUUCUUUGGGGUCUGGUACAAGGUAAUGAAAAAGGAAAUCAUUUUCAAAAAAUGUCAUUAUUUGUUUAAAAUGGAGUCUAUGGGAGAUGGCCUUUCCAUAAUUUGGAGCUUUGUGGACUAUGGAUCCCGUACUCUGGUUUCUGACUUAUAGACUUGAGCUGUUCCUUUGCAGUGAUUUUGAAUUUCGUGUUUUAAUUGUACUGGUCCAAUCAAAGCUAAUUUCUGAUGCUGGACUGAUGAAAAUGACUAAAUUGCAUAAAAAGAAUUGAAAUGUAUGUUCUUGUAUUUACAAUGCUUUACUUAUUCUAAAUGCAUAUACUACUACUA